rnacentral:misc_RNA from 1 species
UCACAUCAUAGAUAAAUGAGUUAUACAAAUUGCCAACAGUCCCAAACAUCAAACGAUUACCAGAUACACACUCUGCGUUAUUCAGUAUGAUACAAACAAAGAGCAAUUUCAAGGGUAAAAUUUAUUCAUAAUUAAUCUUGUCUUUGCAUAAACACAGAUCGAUGAGCAAAUAGGAAACCAUUUAUUUAUUUCUUCAUAAUUCCCAGAUGGAAAAGUAAUUAAGAAAUGACAUUUCCAACAAUUGAAUACUUAGCUUCGAAUUUGGUCUCCCAAUCAUUGAGAACAGCCAUUUCUUUCUCAGAUAAUCCAUCAAGAGAUGGAGAAACAUCUUCUUCAUUCUUGCUCAUCUUUGCAAGUGCUCUGCUUGCAUCUUUUCCGGCGAACAUACAGUAAGGCCCGCCGGGACCAUAGAACGAAUUACCGGCGCUUACAUCGAAGAUUCGACCUUUGAUUGCAACAUAAAUUGGCUUUGAUGGAUCUGAUCCGUCAUAUGCCUUCAGCUCAUCCGCGGUUAGCUCCAUCUUCACUUUACUUAGGCUGGGUGGGUG